rnacentral:rRNA from 1 species
GAUGAACGCUAGCGGCAGGCCUAAUACAUGCAAGUCGAACGGGAUUAAGAGGCUUGCUUCUUAUGAGAGUGGCGCACGGGUGCGUAACACGUAUGCAACCUACCUUCAACUGGGGGAUAGCCUUCCGAAAGGGAGAUUAAUACCGCAUAACAUAAUUGAGUGGCAUCACUUGAUUAUCAAAAGUCAGGGUUGAAGAUGGGCAUGCGUCCGAUUAGUUUGUUGGUGAGGUAACGGCUCACCAAGACUACGAUCGGUAGGGGAUCUGGGAGGAUGGCCCCCCACACUGGUACUGAGACACGGACCAGACUCCUACGGGAGGCAGCAGUAAGGAAUAUUGAUCAAUGGACGGAAGUCUGAACCAGCCAUGCCGCAUGCAGGAAGACGGUCCUCUGGAUUGUAAACUGCUUUUGUUAGGGAAGAAACUUCCGUACGUGUACGGGACUGACGGUACCUAAAGAAUAAGGAUCGGCUAACUCCGUGCCAGCAGCCGCCGUAAAAC